rnacentral:rRNA from 1 species
CCUACGGGUGGCAGCAGUGGGGAAUAUUGCGCAAUGGGCGAAAGCCUGACGCAGCGACGCCGCGUGAGGGAUGAAGGUCUUCGGAUCGUAAACCUCUGUCAGCAGGGAAGAACGGUCACUGUGCUAAUCAGCAGUGAAUUGACGGUACCUGCAAAGGAAGCACCGGCUAACUCCGUGCCAGCAGCCGCGGUAAUACGGAGGGUGCGAGCGUUAAUCGGAAUUACUGGGCGUAAAGCGCUCGUAGGCGGUAUGUCAAGUCAAGGGUGAAAUCCCCGCGCUCAACGUGGGAACUGCCUUUGAAACGGGGAAACUGGAGUGUGUGAGAGGAUAGUGGAAUUCCAGGUGUAGGAGUGAAAUGCGUAGAUAUCUGGAGGAACAUCAGUGGCGAAGGCGACUAUCUGGCACAUAACUGACGCUGAGGAGCGAAAGCGUGGGUAGCAAACAGGAUUAGAUACCCUUGUAGUC